rnacentral:rRNA from 1 species
AUGUCUUUUUGUUUAUAAUUUAAAGUCGAAUCUGCUCCAUGAAUUUUUAAAUAGCUGCGGUAUAUUAACCGUACAAAGGUAGCAUAAUCAAUAGUUUUUUAAUUGAAAGCUGGAAUGAAUGAUUUGAUGAAAUAGUUAUUGUCUCAAAUUUAUGGAUAUUAAAAUUUUUUUUUUAGUUAAAAUACUAAAUUUAAUUUAAAAGACGAGAAGACCCUAUAGAUUUUUAUAAUUUAGGUUUAAAAUAACUAUAUAAUAAUUUUAAGUUUUUAAAUCAAAUUAUUUAAUUGGGGAAAUUUUUAAAUUAAUUAAAUUUUAAUUAAAUUAGAACAUUAAUUAAUGAUUAAUUGAUUAUGAUUUUUAUAAUAUUAGAAUAAAAUACCUUAGGGAUAACAGCGUAAUUUUUUUGGGGAGAUCAUAUUUAUAAAAAAGUUUGCGACCUCGAUGUUGAAUUAAGAUAAAAUUUUAAUGCAGUAGUUAAAAAUUUUUGGUCUGUUCGACCAUUAAAAUCUUACGU